rnacentral:rRNA from 1 species
UUUUUAUGAGAGUUUGAUCCUGGCUCAGGACGAACGCUGGCGGCGUGCCUAAUACAUGCAAGUCGAACGCUUCUUUUUCCACCGGAGCUUGCUCCACCGGAAAAAGAAGAGUG